UAUUGGACAAUGGGGGAAACCCUGAUCCAGCCAUGCCGCGUGUGUGAAGAAGGCCUUUUGGUUGUAAAGCACUUUAAGCAGUGAAGAAGACUCUUCGGUUAAUACCCGGAGACGAUGACAUUAGCUGCAGAAUAAGCACCGGCUAACUCUGUGCCAGCAGCCGCGGUAAUACAGAGGGUGCAAGCGUUAAUCGGAAUUAGUGGGCGUAAAGCGGGCGUAGGUGGCUUGAAAAGUCAGAUUUGAAAUCCCCGGGCUUAAACUGGGAACUGCAUCCGAUACUGUCAGGCUAGAGUAGGUGAGAGGAAGGUAGAAUUCCAGGUGUAGCGGUGAAAUGCGUAGAGAUCUGGAGGAAUACCGAUGGCGAAGGCAGCCUUCUGGCAUCAUACUGACACUGAGGCUCGAAAGCGUGGGUAGCAAACA
rnacentral:rRNA from 1 species